UGGGGGAUAUUGCACAAUGGGCGAAAGCCUGAUGCAGCGACGCCGCGUGGGGGAUGAAGGCCUUCGGGUUGUAAACUUCUUUUGCUCUGAACAAGGCAUGCCUUUGGGGUGUGUUGAGUGUAGGGGUUGAUUAGCGCCGGCUAACUACGUGCCAGCAGCCGCGGUAAUACGUAGGGCGCGAGCGUUGUCCGGAAUUAUUGGGCGUAAAGGGCUUGUAGGUGGCUGGUUGCGUCUGUCGUGAAAGCUCAUGGCUUAACUGUGGGUUUGCGGUGGGUACGGGCUGGCUUGAGUGCAGUAGGGGAGGCUGGAAUUCCUGGUGUAGCGGUGGAAUGCGCAGAUAUAAGGAGGAGUACCGGUGGCGAAGGCGGGUCUCUGGGCUGUUACUGACGCUGAGGAGCGAAAGAGUGGGGAGCGAACAGG
rnacentral:rRNA from 1 species